rnacentral:rRNA from 1 species
UACGUAGGUGGCAAGCGUUGUCCGGAUUUAUUGGGUUUAAAGGGUGCGUAGGCGGUCUUAUAAGUCAGUGCUGAAAUAUCCCGGCUUAACCGGGAGGGUGGCAUUGAUACUGUAGGACUUGAGUAAAGUUGAGGUUGGCGGAAUUGACGGUGUAGCGGUGAAACGCUUAGAUAUCGUCAAGAACACCUAUAGCGAAGGCAGCUAACUAAACUUUAACUGACGCUGAGGCACGAAAGUGUGGGGAUCAAACAGG